UGAAAACCCACUUCUUUGCCAACGCCUUAGUCCGCGCACGCUUGAGGAAUCCAAACUUGAAGUUUUUGAUCUGUUUUUGGAGUGGGCAGAAAGGUUGUAGUUAAUUAAAUGGUGUUUUUAAUAUGGUGGUUCUGAAGUGUGGGAUGAGUAAUAGGAAGUUAUAACAAAUGCCAAAGGGACGUAACCGCAACAACUCAUUAAGGAAACUUGGCAGACACCCUCAACACAUUCAACGCCGAAACUAGAGGUAACGCUGAAGCUCUUCCAACUCUCCUCCAACCCUCCUCUCUCUCCAGAAGAUCCAUGGCGAAUAUGAAGAACCUGAAAAUUAAGACUGGGGUCUGCAAGUGGUUGAUGAAAGAGCUACAAUCUUACCAAAGCGAGGCCGAUAAAGAAUGCAUUAAGGCCAAGAACAUGCGAAGGUCUCAUGCUGACCCUUUCGACAUCAAACAACAGGAACAUGUUGUGGCGGAGUCGAGCUUGACAAUAUCCAAUUGUAGGAAAUGACUUAAGACGGCUAUGGCAACUCUCGAAGCAGCAGUGGUGGAUGCGGAAGCUCAAUCCACGGCAGAAGAGAGUGAGGAACUAUUCGCUGCUUCAGAAUUGAUUGCACAAAUAAAGCCUUUGUUCAUUGCGUGACCACGUGCACAUUCAGUAAUCGUGAAGAUCUAAUACUUGAUUCAGACAAUUGUAGGAUAAGUAUUGACAAGCAUGGUAUACCAGUAUAACUCAAUUAUUGACGUGGGUUUCGCGACACAUCACCCGUGGAGAAGUUUCAAAAGAAACGAGCUCGACCGCCAGUAAGAUGUGAGGAAGUGCUUGCUAAAACCACCAGCGUCGAUGGAUGCUGUGCAACCUGUGCAAUACCAAUUUGAUGAAGCAUUUUUCAGUUGGAUUUAUGCACCAUGCAUAAAGCAAUUGAGGAAGCGUACUUUUCUGAAGUGGAACAAUCUGUCAAGUGAAACUAUAAAUUUUUCAACGAUGCAGUCGGAAGGAAUUCAACAGAAACACGCUAGAAUUGCACCAAUAACAUUCCUGCGGGAGUUAAUUGGCUGCAGGAUGAGGGUGGAGCAGAAGAUGAAAAUAAUUGAGUCUCUCAGCAUGAAGAUGAGUCCCAGUGAUGCGACUAACAAAUGGACUGAUACUGAUCCCCCCCGAUGGAAUUUGAAGCUAAGCUUUUGUGUGAGAGUUGGGAGCCUGUUCUUGUUUCUGAAGCGUAUCUCCAUCGCUGGGCUCUGCUUGAGUAUGUUGCUCAUGUGGGAAGAUUGUCUGUGCACCCGGCAAAUGGGUACCAAAUUGGAGGAGCAGUUGGUGAUGAAUAGAGGAAUUUGAAACAGAAGUGGACGAAAGGCGCUGAAACUAGGAAUCCCAUUUCCGUAUGAGCUCUAGAGCGGCAAUGCUCCCAAGAGCGGCUAAUAUCCUGAGUGGAUGCUCAAAGUUCACACGAUCAACAUGAUAGCAAAAUUGUACAGAAUGCGUGGCACCGAUUGAGGAUUAAGACGAAAGAACCUAAAGCAGCAUCAAUCGAGCGAAUGAGGUUAGAAGUUAUAGAAGCUUAUCGACAACGCAAAGAAACGAAAUCAGCGCUUGGGAGUGGGCUUCCUGUGUUGGUGUCAAAUGCUGAUGAAAAAGAUUAUCAAAGAUUUGAUUGUUCUCUCAUUCACCAUCUAUAGUGCCUCCUUAAUUUGACUUAUUGUUCCAGAAUCACGGAAAUUGGUAACUUUUAUUUGUCAUUAGAGGAGGUACCAGCGAAUUAGUUGUUGAAAAAUGAGUGCUAUUUCUUCGUAGUCAUGUGCCUACAUCCUGCCGCAUAUAUGCUCAAAUGUAAAUUGAAUGCUCCCCCACUGUGCAUUCUUAUUAAUUUUGUUGAAACCUCUCCAUGGCAAUGCAGAAUUUGAAUCAAAAUUUUACACCCAGCUUAACUUGGACUUAACCACAGUGAAUUGAAUAUGUGGGUGUAAAAGAAUAACCAUGUGGUCAGUCACACUAUCUAAAUGUUCUCAAAUUAACUGAAAUCUGCAAAAAAAAAUUCACAACUUAAUCUGCGUCUAUCAAGACCUAUGGAGUUACGAAGACAUGAAGUUUUAUUUUAGGAGGGAUUCUCAUGUCUCUCUUGCACAUGUGAACUGGAGUGAAUAAAUUAUGGUGGUGUUAUAUAUAUAUAUAUAUAUAUAUAUAUAUAAUGCUUUGAAUAGUACUUUUUAACAGUAUUAGUAUUUAAUUAAUACAAUUAAAUAAUUAAUGUUUUUAUUAUAAGUUAAAUUAUUAAACUUUUACAACUUUUUUGUGGCCAAUGACAUGGGUUUCCACUAGUUUUGCAUACCUUGUAGUUGAAGAGUGGAACACGCACAUGACAACUAUAUACUAUCAUCUUAUACAUGACAACUAUAUACUAUCAUCUUAUACAUGACAACUAUAUGAUAUGUAAUC